CCCAGCACAACUACAAUGGACGCUCUUCCGUUCUCUGGGAAGUUUGCCAGGACAACACUGCCAGGGAAAGAAGGACGUGUGACUGACUGUACCUAACUGAGGACAGAAACACAACCCAAGGGGCUCGGAGGUAAGUUUGCUUCGCUCUUGGGGUCCUCUUUCCCUAAAAAACUUGUUCUCUCUGAGCUUUAGAGAAGCAAAAGCUUUGGUACUUACUUGGCAGAAACUGGAUCAACUGUUAAGACCCAUCCUUCAUAUUCAUUUUUCUCAGCUGCUGCAACUUUCACCCUUUUGUUCACGUAUGUUUCCCAGUCUAGAGGGCUUUUCAUUUGCCAGUCAUUCAUAUUGCCUACACCCAGAACCUAGAAAACAGCCAGAGCAAUUAGCAGAAGUAACCAAUCUCCUCGCUUUACCCUUUACAUCAAAAUUUGCCUCUAGGGAGCUUCUGUAUUUUAAGACUGCUACUGAACCGCUCCCUGUGGAUGAAGCAAACAAGCUUCCAUCGCUCAGGAAUAUAAAUGAAAAUGUGGUGAUGUUGUGAUACUAGCAGGAAAUAAAAUACCGCAGGUAUAAAAGGAAAAAUUU